rnacentral:rRNA from 1 species
CUACGGGCGGCACCAGUGGGGAAUAUUGCACAAUGGGCGAAAGCCUGAUGCAGCAACGCCGCGUGAGGGACGACGGCCUUCGGGUUGUAAACCUCUUUUAGCAGGGAAGAAGCGAAAGUGACGGUACCUGCAGGAAAAGCACCGGCUAACUACGUGCCAGCAGCCGCGGUAAUACGUAGGGUGCAAGCGUUGUCCGGAAUUAUUGGGCGUAAAGAGCUCGUAGGCGGUUUGUCGCGUCUGCUGUGAAAAUCCGAGGCUCAACCUCGGACCUGCAGUGGGUACGGGCAAACUAGAGUGCGGUAGGGGAGAUUGGAAUUCCUGGUGUGGCGGUGGAAUGCGCAGAUAUCAGGAGGAACACCAAUGGCGAAGGCAGAUCUCUGGGCCGUAACUGACGCUGAGGAGCGAAAGCGUGGGGAGCGAACAGGAUUAGAUACCCCCGUAGUC